rnacentral:rRNA from 1 species
GGGAGGUUACGGAUAUUGGGUGUAAGGGAGCGCAGGCGGUUACUUAAGUCAGAUGUGAAAUCCCCGGGCUCAACCUGGGAACUGCCUUCGGAACUGGGUGACUAGAGUGUGUCUGAGGGAGGUAGAAUUCCACGUGUAGCAGUGAAAUGCUUAAAGAUGUGGAGGAAUACCGAUGGCGAAGGCAGCCUCCUGGGAUAACACUGACGUUCAUGCUCGAAAGCGUGGGUAGCAAACAGGAUUAGAUACCCUGGUAGUCCACGCCCUAAACGAUGAUAAUUGGCUGUUGGGCAACUUGAUUGCUUUGUAGCGUAAAUGACUUGUGUAAUUCACCUGGGGGGGAGUACGGUCACAGGAAAAAUACUCGAAAGUUAUUGACG